rnacentral:rRNA from 1 species
UACAGAGGGUGCAAGCGUUGUUCGGAAUUAUUGGGCGUAAAGGGCGCGUAGGCGGUGCGGUAAGUCUGUAGUGAAAUCUCUGGGCUCAACUCAGAGUCUGCUAUAGAAACUGCCGUGCUUGAGUGUGGGAGAGGUGAGUGGAAUUCCCGGUGUAGCGGUGAGAUGCGUAGAUAUCGGGAGGAACACCUGUGGCGAAAGCGGCUCACUGGACCACAACUGACGCUGAGGCGCGAAAGCUAGGGGAGCAAACAGG